rnacentral:rRNA from 1 species
CACGUAGGCGGACUUUUAAGUCAGGGUGAAAUCCCGGGGCUCAAUCCCGGAACGGCCUUUGAUACUGGCAGUCUGGAGUCCGGAAGAGGUGAGUGGAAUUGCGAGUGUAGAGGUGAAAUUCGUAGAUAUUCGCAGGAACACCAGUGGCGAAGGCGGCUCACUGGUCCGGUACUGACGCUGAGGUGCGAAAGCGUGGGGAAGCAAACA